AUGGAUACUAUCAUUAUGUGCUUCAAUACCUUUUUUGGAAAAUAUGCAGGUAGUUGGUAUGGAGAUGCUUAUGAUGGAUUUGGUGGUAGCUUGGGUGUUGGGGAGCGAGGGCCCUAUAGAUGCGAUCCUUCCCUGAGCUAUGCAGCUCGUUAUAGUCGAAGCUUUAGCAGAGGUUAUGAUCUUAUUGGGUAUGGUGAGAGUUACUAG